GAUUAAGCCAUGCAUGUCUCAGUUCACACCCUCGCACGGUGAAACCGCGAAUGGCUCAUUAAAUCAGUCGAGGUUCCUUAGAUGAUCCAAGUCUACUUGGAUAACUGUGGCAAUUCUAGAGCUAAUACAUGCGGACCAGCUCCGCCCCGGUGUCGCAGCCGGGAAAGAGCGCUUUUAUUAGUACAAAACCAGUCGGCCGGUCCGCCCUUCGCGGGGUGGCCGGUCGUCCCCUAUUGGUGACUCUGGAUAACUUGGUGCCGAUCGCAUGGCCUCGAGCCGGCGACGCAUCUUUCAAAUGUCUGCCCUAUCAAAUGUCGAUGGUACGUGACAGGCCUACCAUGUUGUCUACGGGUGACGGGGAAUCGGGG
rnacentral:rRNA from 1 species